rnacentral:snoRNA from 1 species
GGGAUAUGAUGACAGACUGGAACUGACUUUCCCAUGGAGGGUCCAUUCAAUCCAACUCUGAACCCC